AUUGAACGCUGGCGGCAGGCCUAACACAUGCAAGUCGAACGAGUGGCGGACGGGUGAGUAAUGUCUGGGAAACUGCCCGAUGGAGGGGGAUAACUACUGGAAACGGUAGCUAAUACCGCAUACCAUCGGAUGUGCCCAGAUGGGCUUAGCUAGUAGGUGGGGUAAGGGCUCACCUAGGCGACGAUCCCUAGCUGGUCUGAGAGGAUGACCAGCGACACUGGAACGGAGACACGGUCCAGACGCCUAAGUGAGGCAGCAGUGGGGAAUAGGGUACAAUGGGCGCAAGCCUGAUGCAGCCAUGCCGCGUGUAUGAAGAAGGCCUUCGGGUUGUAAAGUACUUUCAGCGGGGAGGCGUUACUCGCAGAAGAAGCACCGGCUAACGCCGUGCCAGCAGCCGCGGUAAUUC
rnacentral:rRNA from 1 species